rnacentral:rRNA from 1 species
AGACCCGAAACCCGGUGAUCUAGCCAUGGGCAGGUUGAAGGUUGGGUAACACUAACUGGAGGACCGAACCGACUAAUGUUGAAAAAUUAGCGGAUGACCUGUGGCUGGGGGUGAAAGGCCAAUCAAACCGGGAGAUAGCUGGUUCUCCCCGAAAGCUAUUUAGGUAGCGCCUCGUGAAUUCAUCUCCGGGGGUAGAGCACUGUUUCGGCUAGGGGGCCAUCCCGGCUUACCAACCCGAUGCAAACUGCGAAUACCGGAGAAUGUUAUCACGGGAGACACACGGCGGGUGCUAACGUCCGUCGUGAAGAGGGAAACAACCCAGACCGCCAGCUAAGGUCCCAAAGUCAUGGUUAAGUGGGAA